rnacentral:sRNA from 1 species
CCUUUCUCUCUCGCCUAUUGUUGCCGUUGCUUGCUAUCUUUCGCCGUCGUCUCUUUAGCUUCUUGCGAAGAUGGUUAGUUCU